CCGCAGCUAAUUAAGCCGGCCGUGGCCCCCCCAACUGUGGGUCCCGGCGUGCAAUGGCUGCGCAUAACGACCCCCCCGGCUGUGUAGGGCCCCCCGCGAGCCCCCCACUGCGGGGAGCCCCAAGGGGCUGGGGGCACAAAC